rnacentral:rRNA from 1 species
UGAGUACGAGAUGCUACGGCAUCGAAGCAGUCUAUGUCAUACUUCCAAGAAAAGCUUGCAAUGUCAUAAACAAAUAAUGCCUGUACCAUAACCGACACAGGUGGGUAGGUAGAGUAUACUAAGGGGCGCGAGAUAACUCUCUCUAAGGAACUCGGCAAAAUGACUCCGUAACUUCGGGAGAAGGAGUGCCUUAUUUUAUAAGGUUGCAAUAACAAGAUCCAAGCAACUGUUUACCAAAAACACAGGUCUCCGCUAAGUCGUAAGACGAUGUAUGGGGGCUGACGCCUGCCCAGUGCCAGAAGGUUAAAGAAGUUGGUUAGCAUUAGCGAAGCUGAUAACUGAAGCCCUGGUGAACGGCGGCCGUAACUAUAACGGUCCUAAGGUAGCGAAAUUCCUUGUCGGGUAAGUUCCGACCCGCACGAAAGGCGUAAUGAUUUGGAUACUGUCUCAGAGAGGGGCUCGGUGAAAUAGACUUGUCUGUGAAGAUGCGGACUACCUGCACCUGGACAGAAAGACCCUAUGAAGCUUUACUGUAACUUGAGAUUGAAAUUGGACUUUAUUUGCGCAGUAUAGGUGGGAGACGUUGAAAAUAUUCUUGCGGGAAUAUUGGAGUCAUCAGUGAGAUACCACUCUUAUAAUGUUAGAUUUCUAACUUUGUAUCAUUAUCUGGUCAAAGAACAGUUUCAGGCGGGCAGUUUGACUGGGGCGGUCGCCUCCCAAAGGGUAACGGAGGCGCACAAAGGUUUCCUCUGAACGUGUAGAAAUCGUAUCUAGAGUGUAAAGGCAUAAGGAAGCUUGACUGUGAGACCUACAAGUCGAGCAGGGACGAAAGUCGGUCUUAGUGAUCUGACGGUGCUGAGUGGAAAGGCCGUCACUCAACGGAUAAAAGUUACUCUAGGAUAACAGGUUGAUCUCCCCCAAGAGUUCACAUCGACGGGGAGGUUUGGCACCUCGAUGUCGGCUCAUCGCAUCCUGGGGCGGUAGUACGUCCCAAGGGUUGGGCUGUUCGCCCAUGAAAGCGGUACGCGAGCUGGGUUCAGAACGUCGUGAGACAGUUCGGUCCAUAUCCGGUGUAGGCGUAGAAUAUUGAGAGGAGCCUUCUUUAGUACGAGAGGACCGAGAAGGACAUACCUCUGGUGUACCAGUUAUCAUGCCAACGGUAAACGCUGGGUAGCUAUGUAUGGAGAGGAUAACCGCUGAAAGCAUCUAAGUGGGAAGCCCACCUCAAGAUAAGUAUUCAU